rnacentral:rRNA from 1 species
UACGUAGGGGGCGAGCGUUGUCCGGAUUUAUUGGGCGUAAAGAGCUCGUAGGCGGUUUGGUAAGUUGGAUGUGAAAUCUCCAGGCUCAACUUGGAGGGGUCAUUCGAUACUGCCAUGACUAGAGUUCGGUAGGGGAGCGUGGAAUUCCUGGUGGAGCGGUGAAAUGCGUAGAUAUUGGGAGGAACACCGGUGGCGAAGGCGGCCCCCUGGACCGGUACUGACGCUGAGGCGCGAAAGCGUGGGUAGCAAACGGG